GACAAUGGCAUGUCCUAAAGUAAUCCUACACUUGAAGGUACAUCCGAGUCUCCAUCAUCAAACCAUCCGUCAGUUAUACAACCUUUAUGCUCCUCGGACCAAGCCUAGGUAAUCUUGAUUAAUGCCCCUAUUGCUCAUCAAUUCUUGUUCUUACCAAAAUGCCUAGCUUCUCUCUCUCUAGACCAAGCCUAGGUUUUCUGAUAAUGCUCCUCAGACCAAGCCUAAGUAAUCUUGUUUGAUGCCCCUACUACUCAUCAAACCUCGAUCUUUCUAAACUACUUCUCUCCCCCCAGGCUCUAUUAUCAACCUAUAGCAGAG
rnacentral:lncRNA from 1 species